rnacentral:rRNA from 1 species
UACCAGACUCCUACGGGAGGCAGCAGUGGGGAAUAUUGCGCAAUGGGGGCAACCCUGACGCAGCAACGCCGCGUGCAGGAAGAAGGUCUUCGGAUUGUAAACUGUUGUCGCAAGGGAAGAAGACAGUGACGGUACCUUGUGAGAAAGUCACGGCUAACUCCGUGCCAGCAGCCGCGGUAAUACGGAGGGUGCGAGCGUUAAUCGGAAUUACUGGGCGUAAAGCACUCGUAGGCGGUAUGUCAAGUCAAGGGUGAAAUCCCCGCGCUCAACGUGGGAACUGCCUUUGAAACUGGCAAACUGGAGUGUGUGAGAGGAUAGUGGAAUUCCAGGUGUAGGAGUGAAAUCCGUAGAUAUCUGGAGGAACAUCAGUGGCGAAGGCGACUAUCUGGCACAUAACUGACGCUGAGGAGCGAAAGCGUGGGUAGCAAACAGGAUUAGAUACCCUGGUA